UACAGAGGUCCCAAGCGUUGUUCGGAUUCAUUGGGCGUAAAGGGUGCGUAGGUGGCGUCGUAAGUCGGGUGUGAAGAUCGUCGGGCUAACUCCGAAACUGCAUUCGAUACUGCGGUGCUUGAGGACUGGAGAGGAGACUGGAAUUUACGGUGUAGCAGUGAAAUGCGUAGAGAUCGUAAGGAACACCGGUGGCGAAGGCGGGUCUCUGGGCAAUUCCUGACGCUGAGGCGCGAAAGCGUGGGGAGCAAACGGG
rnacentral:rRNA from 1 species